GACUCUUCUGUCACAGUGUGGUCAGAGUCAUGCCAGGAAAACCUGCACCCAUCAAGAAGUCCCCGGCCAAGAAGGCCGCAGGGAAGACUUCUCCUGAGGCCGCUUCUCCUGAGGCUGCUUCUCCUGAGACUGUCCCUGAGAAGGUUCCUGAGCCUGAACCUGCUCCUGUAGAAGAUGUUCCUCCACCUGUAGAAGCUCCAGCAUCAGCUCAAGCUGUAGCUGAAACACCAGCUGCUCCGGCUACUGCUCCUGCUCCUGCUCCUGCUCCUGCUCCUGCUCCUGCUCCUGCUCCUGCUCCUGCUCCUGCUCCUGCUCCUGCUCCUGCUCCUGCUCCUGCAGCUCCAGCUCCAGCUGCUCCAGCAGACGCUGUCGUAGCCGAGGAGCCGCCCAAAGCGCCAACACCGCCCCCUGCUGCAGGCUCAUCUGACCGUCCUCCAGCUCCCAGCAGCGCUCCUCUGGACGUGUCUUUGGACGACGUGAGCGACUCCAGCUUCACCAUCAAGUGGGACAUGCCGGCGACAAUCGGAGCCACCGGCCUUGAGGGAUACACCAUCGAGUACCGCAAGGAUGGAACGUCAGACUGGAUUGUCGCUAACGAGUAUCCGACGCAAGGGAACCACUACUGCAUCAAGAACCUGACGACCGGCGACCUGAUGCACGCCCGCGUGUUUGCAGUUAACCGUGCAGCUCGAAGUGAACCUGCCGUCCUGGCCGAGCCUGUGAUAAUCCGUGAGAUUGGGGAUCGUCCCAAGAUCCGCAUGCCGCGCAUUCUCCGCUCUCGCUACAUCCGAAAGGUCGGAGAGCAGGUCAACGUGGUCAUUCCAUUUCUCGGGAAACCCAAACCCGUGGUGUCGUGGCUGAAGAACGGUCAGCCUCUGGACACGAAGAGGGUCAACAUCAGGAACAGCAACCGCGACAGCAUCGUGUUCAUCCGCUCGGCCGAGAGGGAGGACUCCGGCGAUUAUGAGAUGACCGUCAAAGUGGACAGCUUUGAAGACAAAGCCACAAUCGUGCUGCAGAUUGUGGAGCUGCCUGGUCCUCCUGCCAGUGUGAAGCUGGUCGAUGCCUGGGGCUUCAACGCUUCCCUUGAAUGGACUCCUCCAAAGGACAAUGGCAACUCAGACAUCACCGGCUACACCGUUCAGAAGGCAGACAAGAAAACCGGGGACUGGUUCACGGUGCUGGAGCAUUUCCACAGACUCAGUGUCACCGUCACCGACCUCGUCAUGGGAAACUCGUACGUAUUCAGGGUGUUCGCCGAGAACCAAGUGGGGCGGAGUCAGACGGCUGCCGUCACCAAAAAGGUGGCCACCGUCCCGAAGACAGGUAUCGUCUAUAAACCUCCUCAGUACGUGGACCACGACUUCGCCGAGGCGCCGAAGUUCACCACGCCCCUGAGCAACCACGCCGCCACAGUGGGAUACACCACCAAGCUGCUGUGUGCUGUCCGUGGAUGCCCCAUGCCAAAGAUCGAGUGGAUGAAAAACCAGAUGAUCAUCGGUGACGACCCAAAGUACCGACAGAUCUCAACCCAGGGCGUCUGCUCGCUGGAGAUCAGGAAGCCCAGCCCCUUCGACGGCGGCGUGUACACCUGCAGAGCCAAGAACGACCAGGGGGAGGCAGUGGUCUCCUGCAAACUGGAGGUCAAGAAGGUGAUUCAUCCAGACGCAGAGAAGGGCAAAUAAACUAAUGAGUGCCUUUAAUGGACCAGCAGAAGUCCAGGUCUUAUGUUUGAAGAGAGUUUGAGGAGCUGAGAGAAGAAACAGUGUGUACAUAAUGAAGAAAGAAGAAGAAAUGAAUGGCGCAACGUUGCUGCUCCACCAGACGUCCCACUGUAUGUCGACUUAGUUGGUGAAAUGUAUGUGAGUCUAUAUUUACCAUUUGCUGUCUGUCAUAGUCGAUCUUCACGUUCUGCUCAAUAAACCUGCUGACGUGCUCCUGUCAUGACUGUAUGGAUGUUUUAAUAAAGGAAGUGUAUUUAUUGUA